AACGAACGCUGGCGGCAUGCCUAACACAUGCAAGUCGAACGAGACCUUCGGGUCUAGUGGCGCACGGGUGCGUGACGCGUGGGAACCUGCCCGUGGGUUCGGAAUAACUCCCCGAAAGGGGUGCUAAUACCGGAUAAUGUCUUCGGACCAAAGAGUUAUCGCUGCUGGAUGGGCCCGCGUUGGAUUAGCUGGUUGGUAGGGUAAAAGCCUACCAAGGCGACGAUCCAUAGCUGGUCGGGGAGGAUGCUCCUCCACACUGGGACUGCGACCCGGCCCAGACUCCUACGCGAGGCAGCAGAGUGGAACAUUGGACAAUGGAGGAAGGUCUGAUCCAGCAAUGCCGCGUGAGUGGUGAAGGCCUUAGGGUUGUAAAGCUCUUUUACCCGGGAUGAUAAUGACAGUACCGGGAGAAUAAGCACCGGCUAACUCCGUG
rnacentral:rRNA from 1 species